rnacentral:lncRNA from 1 species
CUCCCUGUGGGCCUCAACAAGGGUCAUAAGGUGACCAAGAGGGAGAGCAAGACAAAGCACAGCCCCCUGGCAGGCAUGGCGCCAAGCACACCAGGUUCUUGUGGGGCGUGAUCUGAGAAGCGUGGGCUUCACCUGAAACAAGCCAGCAACUUGCCCGCGGAGCUGUUCCAAAUAUCCACGGGAGAUCUGGCCCUCACAUUCAUCAAGAAAAGGGUGGGGACAUACAUCCUCAGCAAGAGGGAGUGGGAAGGACUGAGCAGGGCCCCAGUCUUCAUUAGGAAAGCAGCUGCCACAAGGACUGA